CCUACGGGUGGCAGCAGUGGGGAAUAUUGGACAAUGGGGGGAACCCUGAUCCAGCGACGCCGCGUGAGUGAAGAAGUAUUUCGGUAUGUAAAGCUCUAUCAGCAGGGAAGAAAAUGACGGUACCUGACGAAGAAGCCCCGGCUAACGACGUGCCAGCAGCCGCGGUAAUACGUAGGGGGCAAGCGUUAUCCGGAGUUACUGGGUGUAACGGGAGCGUAGACGGGGCCGCACGUCUGAUGUGAAAGGUCGGGGCCCAACCCCGGGACUGCAUUGGAAACUGUUGACCUGGAGUACAGGAGAGGUAAGCGGAAUUCCUAUUGUAGCGGUGAAAUGCGUCGAUAUUACGCGGAACCCCAGUGGCGAAGGCGGCUUACUGGACUGUAACUGACGUUGAGGCUCG
rnacentral:rRNA from 1 species